UCCAUUUAAAAAGCUGGAGCCAUGAGACAGAUGAAAAGAUGUUUCCAACUGGAUACCCAGGACGAGCAGCUAUAGGAGGUGAAUUUCCCUGCCAACACACAGGCUGUCUAAUCCAUACAAAGCCAUUCUCCUACUGAACAGGGCUGGGAAUGGAGCCCAGGUCUUUGGGGAGUCGAGUGCUGACACUGAGCGUACCCACCCACUGGUUCUGACCUGGCCUUUAGUGCAUAUUCCUUUCCUUCACUAAUAUACGAAUUAUGCAUAAGCAUUA